UACGUAGGGGGCAAGCGUUGUCCGGAAUCAUUGGGCGUAAAGAGCGUGUAGGCGGCCAGAAAAGUCCGCUGUGAAAACUCGAGGCUCAACUUCGAGCUGUCGGUGGAAACUUUCUGGCUAGAGUCCGGAAGAGGAGAAUGGAAUUCCUGGUGUAGCGGUGAAAUGCGCAGAUAUCAGGAAGAACACCCGUGGCGAAAGCGGCUCUCUGGAACGGUACUGACGCUGAGACGCGAAAAGCGUGGGGGAGCGAAACAGGAU
rnacentral:rRNA from 1 species